UACAGACGCUGUGUGAGAGUGUAGCUGCAUCGCAAAUAUCGUGAAAAAUACAAAACUGCCUAUAAACUAGACACGUGAGACAGAGAUAAAUAUAUAAGCAUCGUAUACCGUCUAAUAUUGCGGAAAACUCAUAAUUAAAAGAUGUAUUAAGAGAUACUUGACAAGAAUUGUAUCUUGAUAAAACAAUGUCUGAAACUAGGCACAACAUCAAGAAUUGUUAGGACUGGCUAAAGUAGCAAUUGACAUUGUUAUUGAUGCACUCUGCUUUGGAUUAUCCUCAGUUGUUGUGAUCAAAGAACUGACAUCACGAAUUGCAUUUGCACAAGGACAAACUCCAACUUUAUUCUUAAAUCAUGGAGAAUUUCUAAAACUUGCAGUAGUGGUUCAACCACGUGACACGACAGUUCUUGAGAAAGCUAUUGAGCAACAAAUGUGUUUUGUAAAACAAAACGUCAAGAAUAAAAUAAGUUGAAAACAUA